rnacentral:rRNA from 1 species
AGCGAACGCUGGCGGCAGGCCUAACACAUGCAAGUCGGACGAAGUCUUCGGACUUAGUGGCGGACGGGUGAGUAACACGUGGGAACGUACCUUUUGGUUCGGAACAACUCAGGGAAACUUGAGCUAAUACCGGAUGAGCCCUUAGGGGGAAAGAUUUAUCGCCGAAAGAGCGGCCCGCGUUAGAUUAGCUAGUUGGGGAGGUAAAGGCUCACCAAGGCUACGAUCUAUAGCUGGUCUGAGAGGAUGAUCAGCCACACUGGGACUGAGACACGGCCCAGACUCCUACGGGAGGCAGCAGUGGGGAAUCUUGCGCAAUGGGCGAAAGCCUGACGCAGCCAUGCCGCGUGAAUGAUGAAGGUCUUAGGAUUGUAAAAUUCUUUUACCAGGGACGAUAAUGACGGUACCUGGAGAAAAAGCCCCGGCUAACUUCGUGCCAGCCGCCGCAGUAAAAC